GCCCCGCUGGUGUACGGUACAUAUCCGCCUAUCGUUGCUGGCCGAUUUUCAGCUUCAUCGCGGAAGGACCGCGUUCGACUCGGGGGCGGGGCG